GUUUCCGUAGUGCAGUGGUUAUCACGUCUGCCUCACACGCAGAAGGUCCCCUGUUCGAGUCUGGGAGGAAACA
rfam:Nematostella vectensis strain CH2 x CH6 NEMVEscaffold_382_Cont25605, whole genome shotgun sequence.